AAUAAGCAUCAGAAAAGUGUUGGAAUUGUUCAUCUGAAGAUCUCGUCAUUUCGAGAAAGCAGAUCGGAUAGUAGACGGUUUUAUAUAUUUAUGGCUACAAAGACACUUCAUCUGAGGUGUAGUUUGAAGGAA